UACGUAGGGGGCAAGCGUUGUCCGGAUUUAUUGGGCGUAAAGAGCGUGUAGGCGGCCAUACAGGUCCGUUGUGAAAACUGGAGGCUUAACCUCCAGACGUCGAUGGAAACCGUAUGGCUAGAGUCCGGAAGAGGAGAGUGGAAUUCCUGGUGUAGCGGUGAAAUGCGCAGAUAUCAGGAAGAACACCCGUGGCGAAGGCGGCUCUCUGGGUCGUACCUGACGCUGAGGCGCGAAAGCGUGGGGAGCGAACGGG
rnacentral:rRNA from 1 species